AGAGUUUGAUCCUGGCUCAGAUUGAACGCUGGCGGCGUGCUUAACACAUGCAAGUCGAACGAGAAAGGGACUUCGGUCCUGAGUAGAGUGGCACACGGGUGAGUAACGCGUAGGUAAUCUACCUCUGCAUCUGGGAUAACACUUCGAAAGGGGUGCUAAUACCGGAUACACUUAUGGGUCGCAAGACCUAUAAGGAAAGGAGACCUCUCCUUGGAAGUUUCUGUGUAGAGAUGAGCCUGCGUCCCAUUAGCUAGUUGGCAGGGUAAGAGCCUACCAAGGCGACGAUGGGUAGCGGGUCUGAGAGGAUGAUCCGCCACACUGGAACUGAAACACGGACCAGACUCCUACGGGAGGCAGCAGUGAGGAAUAUUGGACAAUGGGCGCAAGCCUGAUCCAGCGACGCCGCGUGAGUGAUGAAGGCCUUUGGGUCGUAAAGCUCUGUCAGCAGGGAAGAACGGCCGUGUGGUUAAUACCCAUGCGGAUUGACGGUACCUGCAGAGGAAGCACCGGCUAACUCCGUGCCAGCAGCCGCGGUAAUACGGAGGGUGCGAGCGUUAAUCGGAAUUACUGGGCGUAAAGGGCGCGUAGGCGGCUGAUCAAGUCAGGUGUGAAAGCCCACGGCUUAACCGUGUGAAGUGCAUCUGAAACUGGUCGGCUUGAGUAUCGGAGAGGAAAGUGGAAUUCCCGGUGUAGAGGUGAAAUUCGUAGAUAUCGGGAGGAAUACCAGUGGCGAAGGCGGCUUACUGGCUCAUAACUGACGCUCAGGCACGAAAGCGCGGGGAGCAAACAGGAUUAGAUACCCUGGUAGUCC
rnacentral:rRNA from 1 species